AUAAAGAACUGAUCCUAUAUCUCAAUUCGCAGUGCAGAGCGACGAUUUUGACUUAUAGAUUCAAUUUCUACGCGUCAAAAUACACAAUAUAUAUGGUAUAUGUCGUAAUCGGCAUUUCGAAAGGCCUCUGCGUUCCGAGUUCCAAACUCAAAUGCAAGCGGCCUUACGAACAGCUAGGGAGCGGCACAGGCACAGAAGACGAGGGACAACGGCAGGAGGACCAAGGAUCCAGAGGGACUUAUGGGGCGACGAUCGUGAGGAAGAACAAGAGGAAGAGCCCGAAAAUACAUAAAGAAACAAGAAGGAAAUAAACGGGUAUUUACAGAUGCGACAAUCCACGGUCACAGGAGUGAGGGAUUGCCACAGGAGAGAGGGAUUGCUGCAGGAGAGAGGGAUUCCACAUACAUGCUCACACACGCACACACAUACACGCACACACACAUCACACGUAUUUCGCAGGGUCACUUGUGAAGUAGCGUGCUGCUCCUACGCCUCACAUCACACACAUACACCACACAUACUCUACCCGAAGAAGGUGGAGCAAAUCAGCACUUUUCAGUGCCACAUUUUUAAGACGUUGACGUUGAUACUGUAAUAUAUAUGGCUCUAAUAAAAACAUUUAUAUUUUUA
rnacentral:lncRNA from 1 species